CCGCCAGAUGGAGCGCGGCGGCUCCGGCGACGUGCGGGGUCGCCAUCGACGUCCCCGAGAGGGUGUUGGUCGCCGUGUCGCUGGUGCGCCA
rnacentral:tRNA from 1 species